rnacentral:rRNA from 1 species
GNAGGGGGCAAGCGUNAUCCGGAUCUACUGGGUGUAAAGGGAGCGUAGACGGCACGGCAAGCCAGAUGUGAAAGCCCGGGGCUCAACCCCGGUACUGCAUNGGAAACNGUCGGACUAGAGUGUCGGAGGGGUAAGUGGAAUUCCUAGUGUAGCGGUGAAAUGCGUAGAUAUUAGGAGGAACACCAGUGGCGAAGGCGGCUUACUGGACGAUAACUGACGCUGAGGCUCGAAAGCGUGGGGAGCAAACAGGAUUAGAUACCCUGGUAGUCCACACGGUAAACGAUGAAUACUCGCUGUAGGCGAUAUACAGUCUGCGGCCAAGCGAAAGCAUUAAGUAUUCCACCUGGGGAGU